rnacentral:rRNA from 1 species
GAUGAACGCUGGCGGCGUGCUUAACACAUGCAAGUCGAACGAGAACGGAUUAUAGCUUGCUAUAAUUGUCAGCUAUGUGGCGCACGGAUGAGUAAUGUAUAGGUAAUAUGCCUCUUACUAAGGGAUAACAAAUGGAAACGUUUGCUAAUACCUUAUACUCCUUAUUAACAUAAGUUAAUAAGGGAAAGAUUUAUUGGUAAGAGAUUAGCCUGUAUUGUAUCAGUUAGUUGGUGGGGUAAUGGCUUACCAAGACUAUGACACAUAACUGGUUUGAGAGGAUGAUCAGUCACACUGGAACUGAGACACGGUCCAGACUCCUACGGGAGGCAGCAGUGGGGAAUAUUGCACAAUGGACGAAAGUCUGAUGCAGCAACGCCGCGUGGAGGAUGACACAUUUCGGUGCGUAAACUCCUUUUAUAUGAGAAGAUAAUGACGGUAUUAUAUGAAUAAGCACCGGCUAACUCCGUGCCAGCCGCCGCCGUAA